ensembl:snRNA U1 U1 spliceosomal RNA
AUACUUACCUGGCAAAGGAGCUACCAUGAUCACAAAGAUGGUUUUCCCAGGGCGAGGCCCACCCAUUGCACUCCGGGUGUGCUGACCCCUGCGAUUUCCCCAAGUGUGGGAAACUCGACUGCAUAAUUUGUAGUAGUGGGGGACUGUGUUCACGCUCUUCUCCG